UAUGGGUAGAGGAAAAUUGCUCUCAUGAUUUGUUUUUUUUUUUUACCUCUACUAAAUCUAAAAAUUAAAAGGGCCACCCACUUCUGAAGUUGCCCUCCAGCCGAGAGAAUUCCCCUUUCCCCUUUUCUGAAGCUGCCCUCCAGCCGCUGAAGCUGCCCUCCAGCCAAGAGAGUUCCUCUUCCUAAAAAGACCUAUCUUCCUCUGCCACUCUCAAUCCUCGCAGGUACUAAUCUAAUCACGUUGACAUUAUUUUUUUUGCAACCCCCGUUUGAUUCCCAAGAAAAUCCAUCCCCCAUUUGAUUUCCGGGAAAAUUCAUUCUCGUUUGAUUUCCGAGAAAAUCCAUUCAAAACCCCCAAAGAAAACCAAAAAAUUUGCUUUUCUUUUGCUCCUUGUGUUUUCUGGAUCUGUUUUAAGGGUCUCUUUGUUGUUGUGACAUUGGAUUUAAAUUUCACGAACCCUAAAUCCACGAUUUUUGAGCCAGAUUUUGUAUCCUGUGCGCGGGCUGGACUGGUAGGAAAAUAUCGGGAAAUUUUCCGAUAAAUCGGUAUUUCGCCAAUAUUUAUCCGAUAUAUCGGCGAUUUUGCCGAUUUUUUGUCGAUUUUUCCGUCGAUCGAUAAUCGGUGACGAUUAUCGUUUCGGCACCGUCCGAUAUCCGAUAUUUCUUCGAAAUAUCGGCGACAUUUUCCGAUUUUUCAAUCCCUGCUUCCUAUACACCAUGGAUGCAGCCUAUUUUUGUUAGACAUUGCUUUCUAUAUAUUUUUUGUCCACCUAUCAAAAGAGGACCCCAUAUUGUCCAAUCAUGGAAUCAAAGCACGUGAUAAAUCCUCUUACAAAUACAAUAUAUAUAAUGGGUCAUUUACAACUUAAUCCAAACUGCUGCUGAGAAGGCACAAAUUCUUCAUUUUGCAGGACCAGACACGUGUUAAGUCAUAUUACAAAUAUAUGGUUGGCCAGCCAUAUUUCAACAAACAGCUAAAACCAAUCUUUAACCAUGAGAAGUCUUCUCAAAAUCUAAGAGUAUAAAGCUGAUAGCCGCCAAUCUUAAAUUAUUUUUGGUCAAACCACAUGGCGACUCCUACAAAUCCACCUCACUCAACCCAACAACUGACAACUCCAAAUUGUCGGAUUGCUCGAUCACGCCACAUGAUGAGUCCCUUACAAAUAUAAUAGAGUGAACCAUUAAUAACACAACCAAACUGCUGAGAAACGCCAAACUGGGGUAGGUCCCUCUAAGAGAUCUAAUAAAGUAGAUCCUUAACAACUCCACCAUAUUGCUGAUAUGGCACGUGGAGUGGAUUAUGUUCCUCCCAAUAAUAAGGCCAAAGAAGGAUCACAAGCUGAAAUUAAUAACCAUAACAUGCAUUACCACCUUAGCCAAAAUAUUAUCUUUUCAUUAUUUGCAACAGUAGCCCUCCAACCUGCUGUACCCACUUAGAUUGGCUUGAUCAAAUCAAAUGAUCGUAUUUUCCGAUAAUGGAACUUGAUUGAAAAUGUAUUUUCUUGAUAAAAUUUUCACAUUUUCAGUUUUCCUAUAAAAAAUUGUGCAUGCAAAAUAUUCAUUCUUAAAAUUCAGGUGACUUAGACCUUUAUAGCACAAUAUCCCUUUAACCCAUGUAACAUACAAAAUCCAACCAUUAUUUAUAGAUUUCCUGGUUAGGAGCAAUAAAGAAGAAUAUUAAUUUUCCACACAUGAAGGAUCACUAAAG
rnacentral:lncRNA from 1 species